AAACACAGACAGCUGCGUUUUUGUGAUGUUCGGCACCUACCCACACCUGUUUGAAACCCGAUCUACUUUACCCACCCUUGCUCGAGUUAGAUAUGAGUUACCCACACUCAAAAGAAAUCAUUUUUAUGGUGUCAAAUCAACCGAAGAAUUAGGAACCCUGGGAGUGGUUUUGCAGGUAUCGAGCUAACUCUUUGAAGUUGGAAUGAUGAUGGCGAGGAGGAGACUUGACUAGAGAGACCAUUUAACAUUGUGUUGUUAAGUUUCACUUUGCAUAGGAUAGUUAUAGUUGUUUAUUUGUAGCUGAGUCUGUUAUUAGAUUAAUACAUUAGUUUGUUAAGUUCCUUAUUUACGGAAUGUUUUAGGAUUGACAGUUCGUUAUUCUUGAGAACAUUAAUUUUGUUUAGCUACUUGAAAUUGUGGUGAUGUAAUCUAUUGAGGACAUUUAUCAGUAUAAUACAUUUGUUCAAGUUGAACUUAA